UAUAGGAGAUGCGUUGUCAAGUGGAUUUUUUAUGAUUUCAUCGUCGAACCUUUCCCUUGCGGGAACGGGGACAAAAGUUGGUGUCUACACCCCGCGCGUCGCCCGUGCUGUUACCUCACCCAUCGCCGGCGCUGUUCCCCUUCUCCACCGCGUCGCAGCUUCUCCUCCACGGCGUCGCAGCUUCUCCUCCACGGUGUCGCAGCUCCUCCUCCACGGCGUUGCAGCUCCUCCUCCACGGCGUCGCAGCUGCUCCUCCACCAUCUCCACCUUGUCUGUCAUUGAAGUUCGUAAUGGUCUGACCUUUCUGGACCUUAUAGUCAUGCAAAUUGAGAACCUUAACAUCGUAUGGAUCCAAAGCGCCUCUAGUUCUGACGAACACAUUCAACACGCAUGAUGAUACUCUUAAGAUUGUUGAGAAAUACACCAAUUUAAAUGUCAAGAUUCACACAUUUAAUCAGGUUGUAGUUUAGUUGAGUUCACGCCUCUUGCUUUAGGUACUGCAAUGUGAUUAUUUGGCUUUGUCGAUUUCACAUCUGUUUAUUCUACCUAUCAUUAUUUCUUUUCGCACUGGCUUUUGCUUGCAACUAAGAGCCAAUACCCUCGUCUAGUUGCUGAAGAUUUCUUCCCAUUGCCCUCCAAAGGUCAAAGUGGCAAAGAUGGAUGGUAUGCAUCCUCACUGUUGUCUAGUGUUUUUGCUAUGCAGGAAAAAAAUAUGGUUUUAUGGCAAUAUUUGAUUCAUUUAUCUGCUUUUUUCUAUCUCAUCUCGUAUAUGUUCCUUUAUUGUAUAUGUUCCGUAAUUAGUAUACCUUGCCACCAUACCUUGCCACCAUUACUUAUGAUUAUUGUACUUCUGUUGGUAUGUUGGCAGAACAUCUUUUUCUAGAGAAGUAUCACUAGUAGAAAAAUCGACAUGUGCUUGUUGAAUUGGUUCAUUCUUAGGAAGCAAAAAGUUCAUUUGUUAAGGACAACAACUUAAUUGUGAUUGUUAAGGGACACGAAUCAAAAUCAGUUUGGAAUUUCAUCUUGCCAGCUGAACUUGUCCAUUUUUUCUGGUGUCAUAUUAUGCUUUUCAAUUGUCAUGAUUUGAUACUUAAGAGGAAUAUUUCAAUUCAAAACCCAUAUGCGUCUUCAAAUUGUAUUUUUGGGACGCUUCUGAGUGUUUUACGCUAGUUUAUGUCCAGACUGCUGCUAUUGUUUACUGCUCUGGUUACUGAUGUUGUUUUUUACUGCAGCUGCAUACUGUCUGAAUCUAUUCUGAACAGCUGCUGCUGCUCUUGUGCAUCAUUUUAUGCGUUACUAAUAUUGGUGCUUCUUUCUUUAAUGAUGCACGUCUCAUAUCAGCAGGUUCUGUUUAGGUCAACUAGUUCCAUGGUACUUGUCUCGUGGUAGUCUACAGAGCCAUGCAGUGUUGCAGCAGUUGAUGUGGGUGUUUAGGGCCGAAGUGUGCUUUGUUCUGGUCAGCAGUAGAAGGAUGUUGGGUGCUGGUUAUAGUUGGUUGCUUAAACUCAAUUGCAAGUUUGCAUUGCUACCAGAAAAAGGGUCUUUAAAGUUAGAUGUCGCAAACGCAUAGCUGCUGAUUGUUGAGGUUUGUGCCGAUUCAGAAGCAGAUUGUUGCAAACUCUGCUGUCCAAAUGAUUAUUGCGCUGACAUUCAUAAAGAUCAGCUUGCUUUACGUGGAGCUUAAGAAGAUUCACGAGAUCCGAAGCAAGUUUGGUCUCCAAGUAGAAGCUUUCUUUUUUAUAUUAACACUUUCACUUGCAAUUCCAAAGCACACGUCCUCUUCCAAACACACUAGUGUUGGGUUUAAGUGAAUACUUCUUAUAAUUGUUCUCUGUCUUUCCUAUUAUUCUUUUUUUCGUUUUAAAAACAAUUAGAGUAUCAGAUUGGUGGAUGUGGAAAGCGGUAAGCUUAGAUUAGAAGCUCAAACGGAAGCUGCAGUUCUUGAUUGUUGUUUCCAGAGUGAGCCUGUUGUUGUCUCCGCUGCUUCAGAUGGUUCCAUUUUUAUGUAGUAUUUCUUUCCCCCUAUUAUAUUCAAGUUUCGAAUAUCAGAUUAUGCAAGGGUUUCAUGUGAAAGGAGUAUGUGACUAUGGGAUUUGUCUGUUAAAGUUUAGUUUAGAUUGUUUAGAAUAUAUUUUGUUGUGCAUUGCUCAAGUCUAUUCCUUGGUGAUGACUAGUUUUGUUUUCUGAUGCUUGAUUGGUUAUGUCAUCAAACCAGAAGUUCGUUUUCUAUCAGACUAUUGCAAGUUUUAAAAUACUCAUUUAGGCUCAUUAGUUGAAAGUUGGGACCGAAAUAAACUAUUUUAGUCAAAAUGUGACCUAUAAUGAUCAAACGAGUCUUAAAUGUGCAUAACUUGACCAAAUUGGGUGAUAAUGAGUCUUUGAAACAUUAUGCUAAGUGUAUUAAACAUGUAAAGAGUUUAAAAUACUUAUUUAAGUUCAUUAGUUGAAAGUUACGAGCGAAAUACGACAUUUUAGUCGAAAUGGGACCUAUAAUGUUCAAACAAGCCUUAUAUGUGCAUAACUUGACCAAAGUAGGUGAGAAUGAGUCUUUGAAACAUCAAAAUAAGUAUAUUAAACAUGUAAAAGUUUUAAAAUACUCAUUUAGGCUCAUUAGUUGAAAGUUGGGACCGAAAUAAGCUAUUUUAGUCAAAAUGUGACCUAUAAUGAUCAAACGAGUCUUAAAUGUGCAUAACUUGACCAAAUGGUGAUAAUGAGUAUUUGAAACAUAAAACUAUGUGUAUUAAACAUGGAAAGGCUUUAAAAUACUUGUUUAAGUUCAUUAUUUGAAAGUUGGGACCGAAAUAAGCAAUAGUUAUUAUCAUACAGUUCAUUAUUUCAUUGUUAUGAACAAAUUAAGUCUUAAUUUAUUGUACGAUUCAAUAUUUAUUAUAUAACUAAAGUAUAUUUAUAUAUAUAUUUUGAUGGUCGGUCUUCUAAGGUAUUCAACAAUCUGAGGGAGCAGCAUUUCACCACUGAGGAGAUAAAUGAAGUUCGAGAAAAGUUGGCAAACUUCAUUAACAGUGAUUGUCUUGGAUAUUUUCUUGUAGUGAAUCUUAAUUAUAUUAUGUUGCUAGUUUUUUAUAUGGUUGUAAUGUAAUCGACUUUUAUAUUUACAAUUAUAUGUAGUACUAUUUAAUCUAAUUAUCUAUAUAAUUGAAUACAUUUUUAUGUGA